GAUGAACGCUCGCGAUAGGCUUAACACAUGCAAGUCGAGGGGCAGCAUGGCCUUAGCUUGCUAAGACUGAUGGCGGCCGGCGCACGGGUGCGUAACGCGUAUGCAACUUGCCUCACAGAGGGGGAUAACCCGUCGAAAGACGGACUAAUACCGCGUACACUCCAUCUUGGGCAUCCAAGGUAGAGGAAAUGAAAUUCGCUGUGAGAUAGGCAUGCGUCCCAUUAGCUAGUUGGUGAGGUAACGGCUCACCAAGGCGACGAUGGGUAGGGGAACUGAGAGGUUGAACCCCCACACUGGUACUGAGACACGGACCAGACUCCUACGGGAGGCAGCAGUGAGGAAUAUUGGUCAAUGGGCGAGAGCCUGAACCAGCCAAGUCGCGUGAAGGAUGACUGUCUUAUGGAUUGUAAACUUCUUUUAUACGGGAAUAACAAGAGUCACGUGUGACUCCCUGCAUGUACCGUAUGAAUAAGCAUCGGCUAACUCCGUG
rnacentral:rRNA from 1 species